GGCCGCGGGAAUUCGAUUCAGGCCUAACACAUGCAAGUCGAGCGGAGAACAUCAGAUGUUUACAUCGAAGUGUUCUUAGCGGCGGACGGGUGAGUAACACGUGGGUAACCUGCCUCGAAGUGGGGGAUAGCCUUUCGAAAGGAAGAUUAAUACCGCAUAAGCUUGUAGCAUCGCAUGGUGCAGCAAGAAAAGGAGCAAUCCGCUUCGAGAUGGACCCGCGGCGCAUUAGCUAGUUGGUGAGGUAACGGCUCACCAAGGCCACGAUGCGUAGCCGACCUGAGAGGGUGAUCGGCCACAUUGGAACUGAGACACGGUCCAGACUCCUACGGGAGGCAGCAGUGGGGAAUAUUGCACAGUGGGCGGAAGCCUGA
rnacentral:rRNA from 1 species